GGGGAUUUAGCUCAAUGGCAUAAGCACCUGCCUUGUAAGCACAUAGUUGUGAAUUCAAUCUCCAUCACCCCUA
rfam:Cavia porcellus supercont2_14 genomic scaffold, whole genome shotgun sequence.